rnacentral:tRNA from 1 species
CGGAGUGUAGCGCAGCCUGGUAGCGCACGUCGUUCGGGGACGACGGGGUCGGAGGUUCAGAUCCUCUCACUCCGACCA